rnacentral:rRNA from 1 species
AGCUCCAAUAGCAUAUAUUAAAGUUGUUGCAGUUAAAAAGCUCGUAGUUGGAUUUCUGGUGGGAGCAAUCGGUCUGACCAUUGUGUUGGUACUUGUAUUGUCUCUGACCAUCCUUGGGGAAAACCUGUCUGGCAUUAGGUUGUUGGGUAGGGGAUCCUCAUCAUUUACUGUGAAAAAAUUAGAGUGUUCAAAGCAGGCUUAUGCCAAUGAAUAUAUCAGCAUGGAAUAAUAAGAUAGGACCUUGGUACUAUUUUGUUGGUUUGCGCACCGAGGUAAUGAUUAAUAGGGACAGUUGGGGGUAUUUGUAUUCAAUUGUCAGAGGUGAAAUUCUUGGAUUUAUUGAAGACAAACAACUGCGAAAGCAUUUACCAAGGAUGUUUUCAUUA